CGAGCACCAGCCGGUGCCUGAGGGCAUCGGAUUCACUUCCCAACCACUCUUUAUGGGCUAUUUUUGUAGCCAGCCACUCGAUGUGGUUGCAGUGGGAAUGGGCAAGGGUAGAGGAAGGAAGGAGAGGUUGGUGUCCUUUGAAGUGAACGCUCAGAAAAGCUCUUGCAAGUGAGGUCUUUACCUACUUCAUUUGGCUUCUUCCUAUUCAGGCAAACUCACCAAGAGAAACCGAAAUCCCCUUUCUCCAAGUCAAUUGUCAGGGGGCCAUCUUUGUAUCUAAAGCCUGUGGUUUUGCUCUCUUGUGGUGCGACAAGUGGGUGCUCAUGCGCCCCCUCUGGGCAAACAAGUAAGGUGCAGCUAUAUUCAGACAGAGAAGACGCUCCUGUGUCCUCCUAGGCGGUUGCAGCUGGAAGGCAAGCUAUCUUUAAGUAAGGAGCACACCUCCGUUCUUCCCUGAAGGAGAUUGUCACCUAGCUCUCAAGCCUGCCUGUGACGAUGCCUCAUCAACCUGCAGACACACCUAGAGCUGGAAAGAAGAGCAGCCUGGC
rnacentral:lncRNA from 1 species